rnacentral:rRNA from 1 species
GACGAACGCUGGCGGCGUGCUUAACACAUGCAAGUCGAACGGAAAGGCCCUGCUUUUGUGGGGUGCUCGAGUGGCGAACGGGUGAGUAACACGUGAGUAACCUGCCCUUGACUUUGGGAUAACUUCAGGAAACUGGGGCUAAUACCGGAUAGGAGCUCCUGCUGCAUGGUGGGGGUUGGAAAGUUUCGGCGGUUGGGGAUGGACUCGCGGCUUAUCAGCUUGUUGGUGGGGUAGUGGCUUACCAAGGCUUUGACGGGUAGCCGGCCUGAGAGGGUGACCGGCCACAUGGGGACUGCGAUACGGCCCAGACUCCUACGGUAGGCAGCAGGGGAGAAUAUUGCACAAUGGGCGGAAGCCUGAUGCAGCAACGCCGCGUGCGGGAUGACGGCCUUCGGGUGGUAAACCGCUUUCGCCUGUGACGAAGCGGGAGUGACGGUAAUGGGUAAAGAAGCACCGGCUAACUACGUG